GACGAACGCUGGCGGCGUGCUUAACACAUGCAAGUCGAACGGUGAAGCGCCUUCCUUUUUGGUGGGUGUGGAUGAGUGGCGAACGGGUGAGUAACACGUGAGUAACCUGCCCCCUUCUUCUGGAUAACCGCAUGAAAGUGUGGCUAAUACGGGAUAUUCUGGGUCUGUCGCAUGAUGGGUCUGGGAAAGAUAUUGUUUCGGUGGGGGAUGGGCUCGCGGCCUAUCAGCUUGUUGGUGGGGUGAUGGCCUACCAAGGCGGUGACGGGUAGCCGGCCUGAGAGGGUGGACGGUCACAAGGGGACUGAGACACGGCCCAGACUCCUACGGGAGGCAGCAGUGGGGAAUAUUGCACAAUGGGCGCAAGCCUGAUGCAGCGACGCCGCGUGAGGGAUGGAGGCCUUCGGGUUGUGAACCUCUUUCGCCAGUGAAGCAGGCCUGCCUCGUUUGUGGGUGGGUUGACGGUAGCUGGAUAAGAAGCGCCGGCUAACUACGUG
rnacentral:rRNA from 1 species